GUGGCAGAGAAGUAGCCCCACCACUGGGUCGGCGCCGGACGCCGCCGUCAGAUCAGGCGAGAGCGCAAGACAGACAGCCAGAGACAUAAAGCAGGCGCGUGGUACUCUCUCCGUUGACAGAAAAUUGUGGGCAUCCAGGAAAAGAAAAUGAACGGAUCGUGCCUUGAUCUCCUCCUUCCCAAACUCGAGGGUGGCAUAAAAUUGGAGGAUUACCUCCUCAUUCCAAUCACACUUGAAGCACAUGAUUUGCUACAAGCCCUUGCCUUCAAUCACUUUCAAUGCACCGGUAAAUCUCUCUUUCUUCUCCCUGAUGAAAUGAGUGUCAAUGGACUUUUGUGGUGUCAUACGAAUGCUCUCAUAGAUGUCUUCUUGAACGAGUAUUUAACCAAAAACUACCACAUUUUACGGACAUGUGACAGAAAACUACCACUUUACGUUUUUGUGCGGAAAACUACCACUAUUUGUCUAAUCUUUGACUAAAAACUACCAUGUCUGUAAAGUGCCCGAUUCGCCUCUUAUAAGCGCCUUUCUGACAGGUGGGACCCACACGUCAUCACCAACCUUCUUCUUCCUCCCCUCCUCUCUCUUUGGCAUUUCAACAAACACCUCUUGUGCAUGGGACGGAAGCAGAGGAGCUCCGGCAGCCUGCUCGCUUUACACCACGUCGAACCCCAGCACGAGCGUCGGGUGAACCAGCUCCGGGCCGGCUCUGCCUCGCACUGCACGGCGGCGGUGGCGGCAGCCUUCGCGGCGAGCCGAGCCGCUGGAGCGAGCUCCAUCGGUGACCCCAACCAGGCCCGCGCGACGCCUUUCCUCCACUGAUUUCUUCUCCCUCCCCUGCUCUAAUCUCUCUCCCUUCUUCGUUUCUUCUCUGCUAGGAGACGAACGGAGACCCGACGCCAGAACCGCCCUCGAUCCGGCCUCCUCCUGCUCGCCCCCGGAGCACCUUGCCUAAGGAAAACGCCAUGGAUGGCCUGAAGCUUCGACCGCGCAGCUCCAGCGACCCCGCCCGCGAUGACCUCGACCCGCAGGCCGCCUGGAUCCGCGCGUUUGCCACCCUCGGCUACCUCGAGGAGCUCAGGCGCCCUGCUGCCAUGUUCCGCCGGAGCCGAGGUCUUUCGCGCGGAGGAGGAGGUCUUGGGCACGGCGGCAGCGGCGGGCGCUGCAAGCGACGGGCACGGCGAGCGGCGGCGCGGUGCGCGGCGGAACGGGCGAGCAGCAGCGGGUACAAAAAGCGUUGACUAACGAGGCCAUCACUUAAAUGUGGGCCAGGCCUGUCAUAAGUGCGUUUAAAAUGGAUGAAGGCGCCGAUUUACAGACAUGAUAGUUUUUUGUCAAAAAUUAGACAAAUAGUGGUAGUUUUCCGCAAAAAACGUAAAGUGGUAGUUUUCUGUCACAUGUCCGUGAAAUGUGGUAGUUUUUGGUUAAAUACUCCUUCUUUCUGAACCAAAGUGUGGAAGCGACGAUCAUGAGAAGUCGAUAGAUCAACACCACUUUCAGAUA